CCUACGGGGGGCAGCAGUGGGGAAUAUUGGGCAAUGGGCGCAAGCCUGACCCAGCAACGCCGCGUGAAGGAAGAAGGCUUUCGGGUUGUAAACUUCUUUUCUGGGGGACGAACAAAUGACGGUACCCCAGGAAUAAGCCACGGCUAACUACGUGCCAGCAGCCGCGGUAAUACGUAGGUGGCAAGCGUUAUCCGGAUUUAUUGGGUGUAAAGAGUGGCGUAGGUGGCAUCAUAAGUAGCUAGGGAAAUCUGGUGGCUCAACCAUUCAGACUAUUAGCUAAACUGUUAAGCUCGAGACCGUUAGGGGUAACUGGAAUUUCUAGUGGAGGAGUGAAAUCCGUAGAUAUUAGAAGGAACACCAAUAGCGUAGGCAGGUUACUGGGACGGUUCUGACACUAAGGCACGAAAGCGUAGGGAGCAAACGGGAUUAGAUACCCGAGUAGUC
rnacentral:rRNA from 1 species